AUUGAACGCUGGCGGCAUGCCUUACACAUGCAAGUCGAACGGUAACGCGGGGGCAACCCUGGCGACGAGUGGCGAACGGGUGAGUAAUACAUCGGAACAUAUCCAGUAGCGGGGGAUAACCUAUCGAAAGAUUGGCUAAUACCGCAUACGAUCUACGGAUGAAAGCGGGGGACCGCAAGGCCUCGCACUAUUGGAGUGGCCGAUGUCAGAUUAGCUAGUUGGUGGGGUAAAAGCCUACCAAGGCGACGAUCUGUAGCUGGUCUGAGAGGACGAUCAGCCACACUGGAACGGAGACACGGUCCAGACUCCUACGGGAGGCAGCAGUGGGGAAUUUUGGACAAUGGGCGCAAGCCUGAUCCAGCCAUGCCGCGUGAGUGAAGAAGGCCUUCGGGUUGUAAAGCUCUUUCGGUGAAGACGAAACGGUUAGUGUUAAUAACACUGACUAAUGACGGUACUCACAGAAGAAGCACCGGCUAACUACGUGCCAGCAGCCGCCGUAAAAC
rnacentral:rRNA from 1 species